UACGUAGGGUGCGAGCGUUGUCCGGAAUUAUUGGGCGUAAAGAGCUCGUAGGCGGUCUGUCACGUCGGAUGUGAAAAUCCAGGGCUUAACCCUGGACCUGCAUUCGAUACGGGCAGACUAGAGUUCGGUAGGGGAGACUGGAAUUCCUGGUGUAGCGGUGAAAUGCGCAGAUAUCAGGAGGAACACCGAUGGCGAAGGCAGGUCUCUGGGCCGCAACUGACGCUGAGGAGCGAAAGCAUGGGGAGCGAACAGG
rnacentral:rRNA from 1 species